rnacentral:rRNA from 1 species
GAUGAACGCUGGCGGCGUGCCUAAUACAUGCAAGUAGAACGCUGAAGGAGGAGCUUGCUCUUCUGGAUGAGUUGCGAACGGGUGAGUAACGCGUAGGUAACCUGCCUGGUAGCGGGGGAUAACUAUUGGAAACGAUAGCUAAUACCGCAUGACAACAGUUAUUGCAUGAUAACUGUUUAAAAGGGGCAACUGCUCCACUACCAGAUGGACCUGCGUUGUAUUAGCUAGUUGGUGAGGUAACGGCUCACCAAGGCGACGAUACAUAGCCGACCUGAGAGGGGGAUCGGCCACACUGGGACUGAGACACGGCCCAGACUCCUACGGGAGGCAGCAGUAGGGAAUCUUCGGCAAUGGACGGAAGUCUGACCGAGCAACGCCGCGGGAGGGAAGAAGGUUUUCGGAUCGUAAAGCUCUGUUGUAAGAGAAGAACGAGUGUGAGAGUGGAAAGUUCACACUGUGACGGUAUCUUACCAGAAAGGGACGGCUAACUACGUG